GGGGAGGGGGGAUUGCAAUCAUGGCAGUCGAGCGGACAGAUGGGAGCUUGCUCCCUGAAGUCAGCGGCGGACGGGUGAGUAACACGUGGGCAACCUGCCUGUAAGACUGGGAUAACUCCGGGAAACCGGGGCUAAUACCGGAUAAUUCUUUCCCUCACAUGAGGGAAAGCUGAAAGAUGGUUUCGGCUAUCACUUACAGAUGGGCCCGCGGCGCAUUAGCUAGUUGGUGAGGUAACGGCUCACCAAGGCGACGAUGCGUAGCCGACCUGAGAGGGUGAUCGGCCACACUGGGACUGAGACACGGCCCAGACUCCUACGGGAGGCAGCAGUAGGGAAUCUUCCGCAAUGGACGAAAGUCUGACGGAGCAACGCCGCGUGAGUGAUGAAGGUUUUCGGAUCGUAAAACUCUGUUGUUAGGGAAGAACAAGUACCGGAGUAACUGCCGGUACCUUGACGGUACCUAACCAGAAAGCCACGGCUAACUACGUGCCAGCAGCCGCGGUAAUACGUAGGUGGCAAGCGUUGUCCGGAAUUAUUGGGCGUAAAGCGCGCGCAGGCGGUUCCUUAAGUCUGAUGUGAAAGCCCCCGGCUCAACCGGGGAGGGUCAUUGGAAACUGGGGAACUUGAGUGCAGAAGAGAAGAGUGGAAUUCCACGUGUAGCGGUGAAAUGCGUAAAGAUGUGGAGGAACACCAGUGGCGAAGGCGACUCUUUGGUCUGUA
rnacentral:rRNA from 1 species